CACAGACUCGGAAGACCAGUGCUCAGUUUGCUUUAACAUACUAUUCGCACACCCCACACGGGCGACCGACAAACUGAUAAAUCAUUUCUUAACUUUAAUUAUUUGUUACGCCAAUAACAUUUUUGAUUAAAUAAUCUAUUACAACACAGUAUUUAAUAGUUAUUAAAUUAAUACAUAAUAAACUGCGAGAUAACAUUUUAUUAGUUUAGCUUCCCAAUUCAAUUUAACGAAUACUAAGGCAAGUGUGAUAGCAGGUGGAAGGUUGAUAACGUGCGUUCAAAUCUCUAUAAAAACGACCAAUAUUUGUUAGAAUUUUGGUCUUCAAGUCAUUUUAGCGUUGAAUUUUAUAACAAAAACUAUCGACAUUGAUCAAUAAUUAAUAAAAUUAUUUAGUAAUGCAUGUUUGGUGUUGGGGAUUUACCGGACCAACAGUGGUGGUCACAUUUUUGAAACUUAGUCCUACUGGCCUGCUAAGUCCCAAAUACCAGCAAGCCCUUCGACGACAAAUCAAUAAGUUUAUUUCAAAAGUGAUUAAGAAUCCAAGGCUGUUGUCAGUAGCAGUUUCAACUCAAACAUAAAAAGGCAAAUAUUUUUAUGAAAAUUAUCCAUUCUCUUUGUAGCCUUGAGUGUAAAAACUAAAUUAAAUAAAAUUUGGGCGCGAACCCGGAUUUAUAUCACCUUCUCUUCAAGACAACCUUGAAUACCAAUAAGAUAUUAAGUUGGAUGUUUCAUAAAUACAAAUGUGUUUCAUAAAUUUGAUUAUAUUAAUUAAAAUUAUUAUGAAAUAUGAAAGUACAGUAUAGAUAAAUUUUUAAAAGUAAAUUUUUGUAUCAAGGUAUUAUGUUUUACUUUUUUACAAUUAUUGAACAUUGUCUGCUUUUAAAAACUAAUUUAUUCAUUAGAAAUUAUAUCACAAAUAAAAUUUUGUGACUGAUAAAACUAAAACCGAAAUUAUAGUUAAUAUAAUUACAAAAUUAUAUAUAUUUUUAUUAUACUUAUCUAAUACUAUACAGAACGUUCAAUAAGUAAUAAAACAAGUCAAUUGUUAAAAACAAUGAGAAAAAUAAAAACCCGUUUCCUUACAUAUUAAAAACCCUAUAUAGUAAAGUCAACUCUAUAAGUAAGUUCUUCCAACUAAAUAUUUAUUUUGUCAAUAUUUUAAUAAAAACUGUAAAAUAUUUUUUUUCGUGUA